rnacentral:lncRNA from 1 species
UGAGUACUUUCUAAGUUCCUCACCUGUUCAGAGCAUUGGAAAUUUGUUAGCCUGGUUGAAUGCAGACAUCCCUAGCCCUGCUGGGUGGCUGUAUUGCAACCACCCAGUUUACACCUGGGAGGAAGAGGCAGCUAAAUAAUUUGUCCUAGGUCACACAGCUAAAGAGACAGAGGUGGGUGUCACGGCAGCUCAUAAUGCCAAAGUGACAUUGACAGCCAAGGUCAUAUAGGGUGCUUGGGGUACACUGGGGCAGGAGCGUGUGUGAGCAUGUUCUGGGUGGUCGUGGGGGCAUCGGGGACCCUGACCUAGACUGCCUACAAAGGCAGCUCCUGCUCUACCCCUAGAUGCUCUGGGAUUCUGUAAAAAGGGCUCAGCCAGAGCAUGUUUUCAAAUACUGGGUCCCCGGGCCCCCCACUCCCUCCUUCCCGCUUGGCCUCUGACCCUGUCCCAUCCAAGGCUUCACAGGCAGCUCUGUCAACAGCUCACUGCACAAGGGAGCGAAAGGGCCCAGCUCCCUCCAGCCAGCAGAGAAGAGGGC